AAUAGAGAGAUACAACCACAUUCGGAUGAUAAGAGCAGGUAAUUUGUAACUCGGAUGAAAGCAGUCUCUGUACUAUGAUACGGUGUAAAUCCUCACAGAUACUAUUUUUCUCUAAGAAAGAACAUAGUUGUGAGGAGACUACCUUUUCUAUGCAAUAUACAUAGAAAAG